GUGAGAGUGCUUUGAACACUCUUUCGUGGUCUUCCACCGAGGUAGGCUUCAAUCGUUUGUGACUCAUACACCGUAUUUGUCCAGUUCUGGGUUUGCAAAGUAUGUGCUUACAUUUAGGAGAAGCCUAUAAACAUAUGAUGAAGUAAAGGUAGGCAACGAGUGUGGUCAAUAUGAUAUUCUUCUGAGGCCAUUCUUGAACCCCUACUUUAACUAGCAUGGUGGGAAUAACUUAACUAAGUGCAAUGUG
rnacentral:lncRNA from 1 species